rnacentral:rRNA from 1 species
GGGUUGUGAGGUUAAGCGACUAAGCGUACACGGUGGAUGCCCUGGCAGUCAGAGGCGAUGAAGGACGUGCUAAUCUGCGAUAAGCGUCGGUAAGGUGAUAUGAACCGUUAUAACCGGCGAUUUCCGAAUGGGGAAACCCAGUGUGAUUUGUCACACUAUCAUUAACUGAAUCCAUAGGUUAAUGAGGCGAACCGGGGGAACUGAAACAUCUAAGUACCCCGAGGAAAAGAAAUCAACCGAGAUUCCCCCAGUAGCGGCGAGCGAACGGGGAGGAGCCCAGAGCCUGAAUCAGUGUGUGUGUUAGUGGAAGCGUCUGGAAAGGCGCGCGAUACAGGGUGACAGCCCCGUACACAAAAAUGCACAUGCUGUGAGCUCGAUGAGUAGGGCGGGACACGUGGUAUCCUGUCUGAAUAUGGGGGGACCAUCCUCCAAGGCUAAAUACUCCUGACUGACCGAUAGUGAACCAGUACCGUGAGGGAAAGGCGAAAAGAACCCCGGCGAGGGGAGUGAAAAAGAACCUGAAACCGUGUACGUACAAGCAGUGGGAGCACGCUUCGGCGUGUGACUGCGUACCUUUUGUAUAAUGGGUCAGCGACUUAUAUUCUGUAGCAAGGUUAACCGAAUAGGGGAGCCGAAGGGAAACCGAGUCUUAACUGGGCGUUAAGUUGCAGGGUAUAGACCCGAAACCCGGUGAUCUAGCCAUGGGCAGGUUGAAGGUUGGGUAACACUAACUGGAGGACCGAACCGACUAAUGUUGAAAAAUUAGCGGAUGACUUGUGGCUGGGGGUGAAAGGCCAAUCAAACCGGGAGAUAGCUGGUUCUCCCCGAAAGCUAUUUAGGUAGCGCCUCGUGAAUUCAUCUCCGGGGGUAGAGCACUGUUUCGGCAAGGGGGUCAUCCCGACUUACCAACCCGAUGCAAACUGCGAAUACCGGAGAAUGUUAUCACGGGAGACACACGGCGGGUGCUAACGUCCGUCGUGAAGAGGGAAACAACCCAGACCGCCAGCUAAGGUCCCAAAGUCAUGGUUAAGUGGGAAACGAUGUGGGAAGGCCCAGACAGCCAGGAUGUUGGCUUAGAAGCAGCCAUCAUUUAAAGAAAGCGUAAUAGCUCACUGGUCGAGUCGGCCUGCGCGGAAGAUGUAACGGGGCUAAACCAUGCACCGAAGCUGCGGCAGCGACACUAUGUGUUGUUGGGUAGGGGAGCGUUCUGUAAGCCUGUGAAGGUGGCCUGUGAGGGUUGCUGGAGGUAUCAGAAGUGCGAAUGCUGACAUAAGUAACGAUAAAGCGGGUGAAAAGCCCGCUCGCCGGAAGACCAAGGGUUCCUGUCCAACGUUAAUCGGGGCAGGGUGAGUCGACCCCUAAGGCGAGGCCGAAAGGCGUAGUCGAUGGGAAACAGGUUAAUAUUCCUGUACUUGGUGUUACUGCGAAGGGGGGACGGAGAAGGCUAUGUUGGCCGGGCGACGGUUGUCCCGGUUUAAGCGUGUAGGCUGAUUUUCCAGGCAAAUCCGGAAAAUCAAGGCUGAGGCGUGAUGACGAGGCACUACGGUGCUGAAGCAACAAAUGCCCUGCUUCCAGGAAAAGCCUCUAAGCAUCAGGUAACAUCAAAUCGUACCCCAAACCGACACAGGUGGUCAGGUAGAGAAUACCAAGGCGCUUGAGAGAACUCGGGUGAAGGAACUAGGCAAAAUGGUGCCGUAACUUCGGGAGAAGGCACGCUGAUAUGUAGGUGAAGCGACUUGCUCGUGGAGCUGAAAUCAGUCGAAGAUACCAGCUGGCUGCAACUGUUUAUUAAAAACACAGCACUGUGCAAACACGAAAGUGGACGUAUACGGUGUGACGCCUGCCCGGUGCCGGAAGGUUAAUUGAUGGGGUUAGCGGUAACGCGAAGCUCUUGAUCGAAGCCCCGGUAAACGGCGGCCGUAACUAUAACGGUCCUAAGGUAGCGAAAUUCCUUGUCGGGUAAGUUCCGACCUGCACGAAUGGCGUAAUGAUGGCCAGGCUGUCUCCACCCGAGACUCAGUGAAAUUGAACUCGCUGUGAAGAUGCAGUGUACCCGCGGCAAGACGGAAAGACCCCGUGAACCUUUACUAUAGCUUGACACUGAACAUUGAGCCUUGAUGUGUAGGAUAGGUGGGAGGCUUUGAAGUGUGGACGCCAGUCUGCAUGGAGCCGACCUUGAAAUACCACCCUUUAAUGUUUGAUGUUCUAACGUUGACCCGUGAUCCGGGUUGCGGACAGUGUCUGGUGGGUAGUUUGACUGGGGCGGUCUCCUCCUAAAGAGUAACGGAGGAGCACGAAGGUUGGCUAAUCCUGGUCGGACAUCAGGAGGUUAGUGCAAUGGCAUAAGCCAGCUUGACUGCGAGCGUGACGGCGCGAGCAGGUGCGAAAGCAGGUCAUAGUGAUCCGGUGGUUCUGAAUGGAAGGGCCAUCGCUCAACGGAUAAAAGGUACUCCGGGGAUAACAGGCUGAUACCGCCCAAGAGUUCAUAUCGACGGCGGUGUUUGGCACCUCGAUGUCGGCUCAUCACAUCCUGGGGCUGAAGUAGGUCCCAAGGGUAUGGCUGUUCGCCAUUUAAAGUGGUACGCGAGCUGGGUUUAGAACGUCGUGAGACAGUUCGGUCCCUAUCUGCCGUGGGCGCUGGAGAACUGAGGGGGGCUGCUCCUAGUACGAGAGGACCGGAGUGGACGCAUCACUGGUGUUCGGGUUGUCAUGCCAAUGGCACUGCCCGGUAGCUAAAUGCGGAAGAGAUAAGUGCUGAAAGCAUCUAAGCACGAAACUUGCCCCGAGAUGAGUUCUCCCUGACUCCUUGAGAGUCCUGAAGGAACGUUGAAGACGACGACGUUGAUAGGCCGGGUGUGUAAGCGCAGCGAUGCGUUGAGCUAACCGGUACUAAUGAACCGUGAGGCUUAACCUUACAACGCCGAAG